rnacentral:antisense_RNA from 1 species
UGUGGGAGCGGGCUUGCUCGCGAAGGCGCCGUGUCAGUCAAUCAUUGAAUCGCCUGACACACCGCUUUCGCGAGCAAGCCCGCUCCCACA